rnacentral:rRNA from 1 species
UACGUAGGGGGCAAGCGUUGUCCGGAAUUAUUGGGCGUAAAGAGCGCGUAGGCGGUCCGAUAAGUCGGCUGUGAAAGUCCAGGGCUCAACCCUGGAAAGCCGGCCGAUACUGUCGGACUAGAGUCCGGAAGAGGCGAGUGGAAUUCCCGGUGUAGCGGUGAAAUGCGCAGAUAUCGGGAGGAACACCAAUGGCGAAGGCAGCUCGCUGGGACGGUACUGACGCUAAGGCGCGACAGCGUGGGGAGCAAACAGG